GUAGGCACUGCUGGUUCCGAUGCUUUAUCCAAAACCGCUGGUCAGAAUCAAUCCAUCGAUGAUCCGAUUCAAUCCACCGGUGGUCCAAGUCAAUCUACCGGUGGUCCAAGUCAAUCCGUUACUCCACAAUCAACUUCACAAUCUGACUAUCAUCAUGCAGGCGGCUCCCACUCAGAUGGUUCAAAUCAAUCUGCUGCGCCACCAUCGACUGUUGGUCUGAGUCGAUCCGAAUCUGGGCCAAGUUCAGCCACCGAUAGCCCGACAAUUGUCAAUACCGCUGGUCCGAGUUCAAGUCGCUCCACCGCUCACCAUUACGUACCACGUUCACGAAAAAUAAUGGAGCCCACCAAGGAAACAGUCGUCAGAGGCAGCUAUGCAUGGGGUGGCAAUACUGGCAAUCAUGGCAACAAAUACGAAGAAGAUUUAGCAUUUGCGCUGUUUGAGCGAGCAUCUUUGCGGAAAUCUGAAUUCAAACUGGCCUCUGAAAUGAAGGACGCUGGAAAAUUCGAUGAUGUGGUCAUAUUUUUUGAAGAACCGAAGGAAGUGUGGUUGUUCCAAGCCAAACACAAUGACAGCUCAGAUGGUUCAAAUCCAAUAUUGUUCAUCGAUUUGUUCCCAAAUACGUGUAAGGGUGAUUUUGCUAUUAUCAAGUACAUACAGUCGUAUUUAGACGUUAUUCAAAAAGAUGAGUUCAAGGAGUUCAAGAUGCGAUUUUUUAUCCUUACCAAUAAAUCAUUAGACGAUAGCAUAACCAAUAAAUCAUUAGACAAUAGACUAACCAAUAAAUCAUUAGCCGAUAGAAAUAGUCAGCUUAGAGAGUUGGUGGACAUCGAGGUCUGUGAACAAAGUGAAGUGAACCCAAUAAUGAAAUUUGCUGAAUCGGACGAUUGCUACAAAAGAUUCAGACCAAAAAAGGAUAAAAUUGAAGAUUUACUGAAGUUGAUGAACACCGAACUACAUGCCAUUAGGGAUGCGAUCAUUGAACUCUUCAAAAGUGGAAAAGUUUCGGACUUACUAAUCUACUACAAAACACCGUUGCAGAAGAUCAUGGAAGUUUCAAAUGAAAAUCUAAAGCUCAAAGAUAUUGUCUCAACCAGAAAGGAUGAUUGGUUGUGCAAUGAGCUACUAAAGGAGAUUGGCGAGAAAAAGAAGGCAAAAAAUGAAGCGAUUACAUUAUUUAUGAAAGGUAAAUCUAGGGACACUAAACUACCAACGUAUUUAACUAAACAUAGCGUGAGCAAGUUCUUUCAGCAUCUAACUUUCUGUGUAAACCAACCAAGUGAUCUAAUAAGAACGAUUGGCAAUGAUCUUCGCUCAUGGAUGAGAGAUUGGAUUCCACCGGACCAUCUUGGCAAAGUAAAAUUAAAACAACAUUUCAAUAAAUUUGAUGAAUGUUUUAAAAAGUGGAUCAAUUCUAAAAGUUACAAGGAUACCGAAAAGAAUCAGCCAGAAAAGAGUUACUUAUCUUAUAAGGAGGGACGUUCUUGUGUCGAAGAAAUAACCAGGGAACUGAGUCGUAAAUUAUCACAACGUAAAUAUAUUGGAAGCUCGUACAUAGUAAGAAAAUUAAUUGAUUACAAUCUCAUUGUUAGCGACCAUGAUUUCAUCAAACAAUUAAUACACAACCAACUAAAUAAUUUUUCUCUCUUCAUUGGAGAGCCUGGUAUGGGAAAAACAACUAUCCUCCAAUACAUUGCCUUCGAAGUUCAAAAGAAAUCCGAUAUUGAUGUGUUCUUGAUAUAUUUGAAAGACUUAAAGGAAAGGCUCGAAGCAGGCUGUGAAAACUUAGAAGAGGUUUACAAAAUUCUGCAAUCGGCUCUUUCAGAAACCAGCUUGACAAUUUUGAAAAACAAUCUAGAAAGCAACGCAAAUCGAACUCUAAUCCUGUUUGAUGGGUUCGAUGAGAUCACUUUUCAUAACGAGGCAAUCGCCGUAUUUAGGCAAUUUUUGUCAAACGAGAAUAUUCGAGUGAUUGUAAGUGGUAGAUAUCAUGUCAAAGAUAUUCUUGAAACAGAAUUUAGAGCAAGGGCAAUCAGAUUGUUUCCCUUUGAAAAUGAUGA